CAAUAGCGUAUAUUAAAGUUGUUGCAGUUAAAAAGCUCGUAGUUGGAUUUCUGGUGGGAGCGAUCGGUCUGGCGCUUAGCGCGAGUACUUGCAUCGUCUCCGGCCAUCCUUGGGGAAAGUCUGUCUGGCAUUAAGUUGUCGGGCAGAGGAUCCUCAUCGUUUACUGUGAAAAAAUUAGAGUGUUCAAAGCAGGCUUAUGCCGUUGAAUAUAUUAGCAUGGAAUAAUAAGAUAGGACUUUGGUACUAUUUUGUUGGUUUGCGAACCAAAGUAAUGAUUAAUAGGGACAGUUGGGGGUAUUCGUAUUCCGUUGUCAGAGGUGAAAUUCUUGGAUUUACGGAAGACGAACUACUGCGAAAGCAUUUACCAAGGAUGUUUUCAUUAA
rnacentral:rRNA from 1 species